GCCCGCCUAGCUCAAUCGGAUAGAGCGUCAGACUUUUACGGUCAUGGCAAUGGGCAUUGGAAAUCUGAAGGCUGCGAGUUCGACCCUCGCGGUGGGCU